rnacentral:rRNA from 1 species
CCUACGGGUGGCAGCAGUGAGGAAUAUUGGUCAAUGGCCGAGAGGCUGAACCAGCCAAGUCGCGUGAGGGAAGACGGCCCUACGGGUUGUAAACCUCUUUUGUCGGGGAGCAAAGCGAACCACGUGUGGUUCAUUGAGAGUACCCGAAGAAAAAGCAUCGGCUAACUCCGUGCCAGCAGCCGCGGUAAUACGGAGGAUGCGAGCGUUAUCCGGAUUUAUUGGGUUUAAAGGGUGCGUAGGCGGGUUAUCAAGUCAGCGGUAAAAUCGUGGAGCUCAACUCCAUCCAGCCGUUGAAACUGAUGAUCUUGAGUGGGCGAGAAGUAUGCGGAAUGCGUGGUGUAGCGGUGAAAUGCAUAGAUAUCACGCAGAACUCCGAUUGCGAAGGCAGCAUACCGGCGCCCGACUGACGCUGAAGCACGAAAGCGUGGGUAUCGAACAGGAUUAGAUACCCGGGUAGUC